rnacentral:tmRNA from 1 species
GGGGAUGACAGGCUUCGACGGGAGAGGCUGAUUCCGGAAUGCGAGCCGAGCGCGCACCGACCUCGAUAACUCAGUGCAACAAUCAAGUGCCAACAACAGCACUUCAUACGCUGCUAUGCCCCUCGCCGCCUAAGGCGAACAUAACAGUAUGACAUCUUAGGAUGUCACGUCCACCGGCACCGCCCUCUAUCGGGUGACGGACCGGGCGAAACAAAGAUAGAGUGCCACGUGUGAUUCUGCUAAACACGUGAAAGACUAGCAGAUGGUCACAGGUUAACCAGCCCGCCGGGGUGCCUGUGGUGACGAUAAGCGGCAGGCUACGCUCGUAGAGUUCCGAGGGUUGAAUCUUUCGGACCCGGGUUCAAUUCCCGGCAUCUCCACAA